UUAGCUCCCUGAACGCAGCGGACUCUUAAUCCGUAGGUCGAGUGUUCGAGUCACUCAGGACCCACCA
rnacentral:tRNA from 1 species